GUUUACCUGACUCCCACAGCAAGCUGUUAACUUCCCAAACACCCAAGACCACCACCGCCAAACCCUUCUCUAGGGCGCAGACCACAUCAGGUCACUAGGCUCAAGCGCCUUGUAGACAAGCUCAAUCCCCUGCGAAAGACGAAUCCGAUCAGUCUGAAGAUACUGCUACAGAGUGGAAGUAAAUGCGAUAAACAAAAGCGCCACCACUUUAAGGAUUCAACGUCGCUUCCUGCCGAGACGUUGAUGUCCACAAGCACAGACCUCUCCCC